rnacentral:rRNA from 1 species
CAGUCGCCACGGUAACACGUAGGGUGCAAGCGUUAAUCGGAAUUACUGGGCGUAAAGCGUGCGCAGGCGGUUAUAUAAGACAGAUGUGAAAUCCCCGGGCUCAACCUGGGAACUGCAUUUGUGACUGUAUAGCUAGAGUACGGCAGAGGGGGAUGGAAUUCCGCGUGUAGCAGUGAAAUGCGUAGAUAUGCGGAGGAACACCGAUGGCGAAGGCAAUCCCCUGGGCCUGUACUGACGCUCAUGCACGAAAGCGUGGGGAGCAAACAGGAUUAGAUACCCGGGUAGUCCCUGUCUCUUAUAA